rnacentral:rRNA from 1 species
AUUGAACGCUGGCGGCAUGCUUUACACAUGCAAGUCGAACGGUAACAGGCCUUCGGGUGCUGACGAGUGGCGAACGGGUGAGUAUGCAUCCGGACGUGGCCAGAGGGUGGGGAUAACGCAGCGAAAACUGGGCUAAUACCGCAAGUGGUCUGGAGAUGAAAGCGGGGGACCAAGCAGCCAUGUUUGGCCUUGCGCCCCUGGGACGGCCGAUGUCAGAUUAGGUAGUUGGUGGGGUAAAGGCCUACCAAGCCGACGAUCUGUAGCUGGUCUGAGAGGACGACCAGCCACACUGGGACUGAGACACGGCCCAGACUCCUACGGGAGGCAGCAGUGGGGAAUUUUGGACAAUGGGCGCAAGCCUGAUCCAGCAAUGCCGCGUGCGGGAAGAAGGCCUUCGGGUUGUAAACCGCUUUUGUACGGAACGAAAAGGCUCUGGCUAAUACCUGGGGCUGAUGACGGUACCGGAAGAAUAAGCACCGGCUAACUACGUG